rnacentral:rRNA from 1 species
UGAGGAAUUUUGGACAAUGGGCGCAAGCCUGAUCCAGCCAUGCCGCGUGCGGGAAGAAGGCCUUCGGGUUGUAAACCGCUUUUAUCAGGGAAGGAACGGUCUGGGCUAAUACCCCGGACUAAUGACGGUACCUGAAGAAUAAGCACCGGCUAACUACGUGCCAGCAGCCGCGGUAAUACGUAGGGUGCAAGCGUUAAUCGGAAUUACUGGGCGUAAAGCGUGCGAAGGCGGUUAUGCAAGACAGAUGUGAAAUCCCCGGGCUUAACCUGGGAACUGAAUUUGUGACUGCAUAGCUAGAGUACGGUAGAGGCGGAUGGAAUUCCGCGUGUAGCAGUGAAAUGAGUAGAUAUGCGGGGGAACACCAAUGGCGAAGGCAAUCCCCUGGACCUGUACUGACGCUCAUGCACGAAAGCGUGGGGAGCAAACA